rnacentral:lncRNA from 1 species
UGUGGUGGCAUUCGCGUCUGCGAGCUCCGGAGUGACUUUCCCUUCCUGUGAAGGCAAUCCGGCCCUUUCCGGUGGAGGACCCUUCCCCCUGGGUUGAUCUUGAGGAACUUAAGAGACGGUGUUUUGACUCGACUCCUUUCCCCUUUUUCCUCCCGCUGAGAUCCAGACCUUCUUAGAGAGAACACAGCCAGUGGAGAGUCACUCUAUGGCAGGAAAUAUUCUGUAUUGCCUUACAGGCAGAACUUGCUGAAACUCCAACCUCUGGAAAUUACUGGAACCCUGCAUUCUAGAACUUGCUGGAAACCCACCCUCUGGAAUUGGCCUGCUAGAGUGCCUGAGAAGGAUGUUCAUAGGGAAAUGUUUCAGCAGAGGAACUCUACUACAAAAACCACAAGAGGGAGGGUGCCAGGGGAAGUGGCCUGGUGCUAUUGAAACUGCAACACAGAAGCCAGCCACUGGAGAGAGCUGCACAAGCUGCAGGAACACCCUACCCAGUAAGCCGGCCAGAAGGAGGGAGCAAAACCUUUUCUCUCUGCAACAUCUUUCCAGUUUCCUCUACUGGAAAAGCUUCAUUGCCAGCUGACAAAAGGAAAAAUACUUAAAUGGAUCAGAUCCAUUUUCACAGAGCAGUCAAUAAUGGUGAAUUUGGAGAUGAUAAGCAACAAAUUGAUGAACUGGCACAACUUCCCUGCUACUUUCUUGAUUGUAAUGCCUAGAUAGGGAAUAGGAAAGUUAUUGAAAUGUAUGUGUUCCCAUGAAAUGUGUUUAUUUGUUGUUCAAGAUCAAUACUAAUAAAUGGGGACUAAUGUUCUGAAGUAUUUUGGAACAAUUAGAAUCACCACUCUUAA